UACACACCGCCCGUCACACCACGAAAGCCCGCUGCAACAGAAAUCGGUGAUCUAACCCGCAAGGGGGGAAGCCGCUGAAGUUGUGGUUGGUGAUUGGGGUGAAGUCGUAACAAGGUACCC
rnacentral:rRNA from 1 species